rnacentral:rRNA from 1 species
CCCGCUGAACUUAAGCAUAUCAAUAAGCGGAGGAAAAGAAACUAACAAGGAUUCCCCUAGUAACUGCGAGUGAAGCGGGAAAAGCUCAAAUUUAAAAUCUGGCGGUUCUUGUAGCCGUCCGAGUUGUAAUUUAGAGAAGUGUUAUCCGCGCUGGACCGUGUACAAGUCUCCUGGAAUGGAGCGUCAUAGAGGGUGAGAAUCCCGUCUUUGACACGGACUGCCAGGGCUUUGUGAUGCGCUCUCGAAGAGUCGAGUUGUUUGGGAAUGCAGCUCAAAAUGGGUGGUAAAUUCCAUCUAAAGCUAAAUAUUGGGGAGAGACCGAUAGCGAACAAGUACCGUGAGGGAAAGAUGAAAAGAACUUUGGAAAGAGAGUUAAACAGUACGUGAAAUUGCUGAAAGGGAAACGCUUGAAGUCAGUCGCGUCGUUCAGGACUCAGCCUUGCUUUUGCUUGGUGUACUUCUUGUUCGACGGGUCAGCAUCAAUUUUGGUCGGUGGAUAAAGGCUUAGAGAAUGUGGCAUCUUCGGGUGUGUUAUAGCUCUGGGUCGCAUACAUCGGCUGGGAUUGAGGAACUCAGCACGCCGCAAGGCCGGGUACUUGUACCACGUACGUGCUUAGGAUGCUGGCAUAAUGGCUUUAAUCGACCCGUCUUGAAACACGG